rnacentral:tRNA from 1 species
GCCUAGGUGGCUCAGUCGGUUAAGCAUCUGACUUAAGCUCAGGUCAGUCAUCUAAGCUAACUUAGGCUCACAGUUUGUGAGUUCGAGCCCACAUUGGGCU